rnacentral:misc_RNA from 1 species
GUGCACCCUACGUGCGAGCAAGUGUUUUUCGUCGUCGGCUCUCCGUGUGUGCACGAGAGGGAAACGAUCAAAUUAAAAAAAAAAAAAAAAAAAUAAAAAAAAAGAAGAGGGAGGAAAAGAAAAGGAACCUUUGUGCCUCGGUGUGUCGUUGCAGUGUUACGUAUGCUCGAAUCCUCGUCGACCUGCUCUCGCCUUCGUCGAGUGAUCGCGCUCGGGCGUACGGAAAACGCGUGGUGACACCGCCGGGACUUGGAUCGAAAAUUGCGUUCCACGGUGCGCGCGCUUCGCGCCGGUGACCCUGACAUUCGAGAGGAGCACCCGACACAUUUGACUAGCCGCGCCGCUACGGGAAUCAUCGUUCCGUCUCGUUCGACUUGAUCGAAAGUACCGCGCGUCGAGACGUCUAGGCGUCGUCGAGGAACCGCGGUUGACCUUGACUUUGGUACCACCGGGGCGCCACGCGUUUACAGGCCAACCAUUCGUCCGAGAUCGAAUCGCGCGAUCGUCGUUCGGGACGAUAUCGAAGAAUCGUGUCGUGCGCGUCAAGUGACGACGACCUUGAUUUCGCCGAACGCGCGACAGCUUUUCUCGAUUCGAUCGUCCGGUCAGCCGCGCGCGCUUUUGCACCUCGGUGCCCGCCUUGUUUGCCCGAGUUCGUGCACGGCACACCGUCGUGUCGUUUUCUACUAAUUUAUUACGCGACAAUUCGCCAGACCGAAUCGAUCGUUGAAUGGGUGCGCGUGAGACGACACAGGCGAGCCGUGGGAACUGCGUGAAGAUGAAAGAAUAGAAGAGGAGAUAUCAUCGUCGAGGAAUCGUUUCGCGCGACCAAAGCCCGCGUUCCGAUCGGUCGGUUCGUUUGGAUCCAGCGUCGGCCAAUCGUGCGAUUUUUGUCGAGCGAUCGUUGCCGCUUACCGGAGGAGAGAAGACACGAGAUUCUCUCGGACACGUUGGAAGGGAUCGGACGAAACGUCAAGGCGGUUCGAUACCGAUCGCGAGGAGGAAGAAGUGUGAUGGCACCGCGGCGUCACGCGAACGGCCACGGUGGUGCAUUGAUGGAGAACGGCGGAGGCAUCAACGACGCGAUGGAGAACCUGCUGACGCAGAAUCAGACGACCCGUUGCUGCACGCCGACCGGCGAGUGUCUGCGCGGCGACGCUUUAAUUCGCUUGAACGCGUUGCACGACACGGUCAAGGUAACUUGCAACAACGAGAGUUGUCCCGUUGGCCAGUUCAUGCAUCGCGAGUGUUUCGACGCAUGGGAACAAACUGUGCUGACGUACCUGAAAAGCUGCGGCCGUGCUCGUAGUUGGUCAGAGAGGCAGCGCCAUCAGAAUCUUUGGACGAAAAAAGGUUACGAUCUCGCGUUCAAAGCGUGCGGCUGUCGCUGCGGUCGUGGACACCUCAAGAAAGAUCUCGAUUGGAUGCCGCCAGGUACCGGGAACGCUUCCGGCAAUCGACCGGACGAGAACGAAGCGAAGAAAAAGAAACGUCGUAAUCGGCAAAAUACUAGACCCACGUUGUCCGUUUCGGCCGGUCCACCGAGUCACGGCAAUCACGUCUCGACGAACGGUCGCGGUACCACCGAGGCACAGUUGAUCGAAUCCGGUCGUGGAAGGGCUGGUUCUCUGUCUUCCAGCACCGGAUCGAGUUCACCACCAGCAACCAGCGAACCCAGCGUCAGCCCUCUUCAUCAACCACAGGCUAUCAUGAAGAAGAAGAGCAAGGUCGAUUUCUUCAGCGAUCGAGCAAGGCAAAGCUGCGGUGCAAACGGAAUCUUUUCGCGUCGGCUGGACUUCAGCGCGUUCAACAGCCUGCCGCGUACCAAGUUGAACUCCUACCACAUCAAGAUGGAAGACGAGGGUAAUCACGGCAACGACGACACCAGAUGCUUCAUCCUGUCGACCUUGGCCGCACUGCAGUGGUCCCGAGUUUCCUGCGUACUCUGUCGUUCGCCUAUGCUCGUUUUCGACAGGUAUCCUUUAGUGGACGGUACGUUCUUCCUGUCACCGAGGCAACAUUCACCCGCUUGUGCAGAGGUGAAGGUCGAAGGUCGUACGCAAUUCUUGUCAGCGGUGUGCAUGAGUUGCCUGGAAGGCAGCGGUGGCCAGCCUGUUCGUUGUCGUUGCUGCACUCAGCCGUGGGACGGAUCUAGUUUAGUUCUUGGAACGAUGUACAGCUACGAUAUCUUUGCUGCCAUGCCCUGUUGCACGGAGCGACUCAAGUGCAACAGCUGCCAGAAACCUCUGAUCUAUCCGCACCAACGGUUGAAUUUCUAUUCGGACUACAGCCGUGUUUUCGCCUGCCCGCAUUGCAGAGCCGUGGACGCCCAUUUCGUGAAACCGCUCUCGAUCUGCUUCACCCGCGAGCAGUUUCAGCUUUACAGCCAGUGGCCGUAACCAUUAGAGAACUUAGCUAACCGGCGUCCAAGCACCUCGGCUGACCCGUGUCCCCACUUCUUCGACCCAUUGAUCUCUCUACUGCGAGCGACCUUGCUCUAGAUUCUAGAUCCUCCAUCAACACCACUCGUCGAUCAUUUUAAUUCGUUACCGCAACCUCAUCGAUUGGAAGAAAGAGUACGAAGCGCCGAAUUUACUCCAGCACCUGACACUUUGCUCUGGUCUCGCCUUCAUUCGAGUCCAAAAAAUAUUUAUUUUUCCUUUGUGAAACAGAUCAAUUUUUAAGUUACUCUUUUUUACUUUACUCUUUUCUUUUCAGAUCGGACAAGUACGCGAUACAUUUCGAUUUCGAAGCUCGCGUUCGUAAUUCGAUAGAUCAACAAUACCGAGAGUCGUUCGAAACCGAAAUUUCUCCGAUACUUGUCCUCUAUUAUCAACGAAAUCAUCGAGUUCGAAGCGAAAUUUUCUUUUUCUUCUUUUCUCUUCUUUGUUGCUCGAUUCGAAUCAACGACGAAGAGGAUAAUACCUUGGUAGCGGAUGGAGGACCGGAAGUAUGUCAGGUACCGGAUCAAUUUUUGUAACAGCGAUAUCGUUUAAGCUUUUUCUUUUUACUAUGUCGACAGUACGGUUAUGUAUGUACGUUAGUAGAACGCGAAGGACGGUUACGAGCUCGUCGAUGGGUUCGAUCGACGAGUCUCGACGACGCGUAUCGAGGCCCAUUACCGAUUCGACGAAACUCGAAUUCGUCGACAAGAAUCCAGGCUAAGGAUUAUCGUCAGUAUUAUCGAUAAGAACGAGAAGAAAAACGAAACGAGACUUUGUUCUCCCUAUAAAUUUCGCUUUUGUGUUAGCAAAAAUUUAUGCGUAGGAAUUGUAUUUUCUAGCAAAAGAAACAACGCGAGUUUCUUUCCGUUUUCGUUUAGAAUAUUUUUCGCGCGUCUAUUAGCGGAAUUGAAACUGCGAGUUUGACAACAGAUGCAAGAAUUCUUUAGUAAUAGUAGGAUAGGUGGUUGUAAAUUAAUUUCAUUCGAAAAAGUAUAUCGUUGCGCCUCCGAUUUUUUUAUCGUCGUGCUUUAGCUGAUAAGAAAGUUCGAACAAUUACGUUUAAAUUGAAGAAAUGUUCCGCGAUCGCGUCGUCGACGCGUCCGUCCCAUUUCCGCGCUCGAACCGAACGAUUUUUUCUUCCGAUCGUUCGAUGAUCGUGUUAUCGUCCCUCGCGUUCCCAUAAAUCGCGUCGCGUUCAAGGGUGGAUUAAGAGAAAGGAUUGCGGAGACAAAAGAUAAAACGACGAGAACGAUAAUAUUAUGAAAUAUAUAUAUAUGACGUUAGGACGCGGAAAUGGAAAAGAAAUAAACAAAAAAAGUCAGACUUCCCUUUCUUUUGUACGAAUAAAGUAGGUAUGUACGUGAAAAUGGAAAAAGGAAAAAAAGAUAAUGACGAUGAGGAAAAAGCGCCACUCUUAAAAGAACAAUGAGGGGGGAAGAGAUAUUAUGAACUAUCGUUUGUUACUUAGAUAAUCGAGAACGUUGUUUUUUUUACAUUUUAUUAGUUUAUACGUUUACGGCGGCCAUGUUGAUUUUGUUUAAGGAUCUACGACUCAUUCGAUGGGUUUCACGUUGAUCGGCCGGGCGCCCGACGACUUUCCAAGCUUCGACAAAUCCGCUCUCCUUCCCUAUUCCCCGAUACUCGGACAAUAAUUUUAGUCGUCCACGAACCGAUUAUACGAACGUUAAGAUUUUACUUUUAUUUUCGUCUCCUCGUUUCCUCUUGAUUUUAACACGCGUGUUCCUCUCGUAAACCAUCGAAGCGCGAUCGGAAGUUGCGGGCGCCCGAGGUAGCCAGUGUAAAUACGUAAUUAAGAGCGAGAGAGGCGAGAAUGAGAAACACGAAACAUUCGAGAGGUAGGUUGCUAGAGAGAGCGAGAGAAAGAGGGGGAGAGAGAGAGAGAGAGAGUGUGUGUGUGUGUGUGCGUGUGAGCGCGAGAGAGAAUAAAAGGACGAAAGAAAAAGUGGAAAAUCUUGGUUCUUUCUGGCGAUGCUGGUCGUUGCUGUCCAUCAAUAGCGGCCGUCCCACAAACAGACCGCCCACCGUUUUUCCCAAGGUAGUAUAGUCGAUCGUGUACCUUCUUUAUGUUACUGCGAUUUAAGAAAAAGGACAAAAAAAUGAUACAAGGAAGAAAAAGAGUAUACUUAAUCCAUUUAUACGUCGGGAAGUAAGUGUAUUUAGGAGAUUUUAUAUAUUGUCCCAGUAGUAUUUUAGCGAAAAUUCGAUUCUCUCGAACGAUUUUGAUUAGCGAAUUCUUGCGUUCGCGUGUAUGAUCGUGCGAAUGACAGCGCGUGGUUGUGUUUUUAUUUCUCCGUUCGUUUUCCAGAGGAACGUUCGAGAAAGAGUGCUUGGCAUAUUCGAGGGAAUUCGUGAAAUCGAGCACGCUACGAAUACGGUUUGUUGAAAGUCGUGGUCAAACUUGAAAAGUCAGUACUAAAUAGCAAGCAGGAUUAUAAGAGCGUACCGUAUAUCCAUGCUGGAAGUUUGAUCGCAAUUUCGUUCAACGCAUCGUGUACGAUUUAAUCGACGAGAGAAUAUAAUAAUCGAUUGAGUGACGGAGCGUGCGAAUUAGCGUGAAUCGAUCGAGAGAAAGAUGCAAAGCACAAGUGGAGGGUGAACAGGUGUUCGAGUGCGAGGAAGAAGGAGAGAGACUCGAAAGAAGAGGAAUAUACAGCGAAAGGAGAUACCGCGUAUUCGCGCGGAAUCCUUCGAUUUGAAUAGCCAAAAAGAAAAUAAAGAAAAAAAUACGAAAAAAAAAAAAAUAAACAGAAAAGAAAUAGGUGAAGCUAACGAAGCGUGCGUUAUCACCGUUCGAUUUAAUGCCACGAAACCGCGUUUCUCAUGUUCAGUUUUUUCGUUUCCUUCGUCGUUUUGUUUCUCGCGUCGCAGCCAACGACGAAAAGAGAGACGUAUGCGCGCGAAAGAAAUCGUCUCUCGUUACGUUUUUCUCAGAGUGCCAAAUAUCGCAUAAGACAAAAGUAGAGGAGAAGAAGAAAUAAGGUAUUUCUAAUUUAUUUUCCGCACGGUGGUAUCUUUCGAUCGCGUUUUCUUAGCUUUUUUCCUCGCUUUUCGUUCGAGACACAACACGCAAGCGGACAACGAAAGUUUUUCGCUACUCGAGAAACUUGUCGGUCGUUCGUUUUUUUCGGUGGCCGGUGAUCGGUGAUCGGAUGCACGCGUGUCGCGUGCAAUUCGUUACCGUUCGGUUUUCAAGUUUAACAAAAGAAUCCUGGCGUUCUGGACACCCUCGAGGAAGAGGAUCGGUCGUUUGAUCGCGCGCGUAUCCGACAACAAACUUUUGUACUCCCUACCGUUUUCAAUUUUCGCUACGUGAUUGUUCGCGUUGUCGAGCGUAUAGUAGGUACCGCGCGAUAUAUUUAGACAUUCAUCGGCUCAUUUCAGUUCCUACCGCGACUCGAUCGACGCUUGGAACGAAGGAAACGAUCUUACGGAGUUUCUCUCUCGACGUGGAAAUCGGACCGCGAUCGCGUGUUUUUUCUUUCUUUCUUUCGUUCGUUCGUUCGUUCGAACGAGCGUAACUUUUUUCGAGCAUCCGAUUCGAUUCGUAAAGAAAGUUAGUCGGUUUUAACGCGUCGACGUACCGAUGUAUCCGCGAAUCGUUACGCGAACAGAACUGCACGAAUGUAAGAAGAGAUUCUGGAAAAAAACACAGGGAUUAUCGAUAAGCGAGAGAGGUACGUUUCGACGACUAAGAAUCGUCGUUUAACCCUUGUCACUUCAACACUUGUAUUAGAAACGUAACGAUAAACGCAACAAAGUAUGUUCGAGUUUCUAAUUUUUCGAAUUGUCCGGUAUCGAAAUCCCUGAAUCGUGAAAUUCUCGUAUUUCUGUCCGUAAUAAACGCCCGCGGUUUCGCUUUGACCGCGCGUGAAAAAAACUCGUGACGAUCGGUACAUAUCGCCAACGCUAUUAAUAUUUACCUCGCCCGUUCGAUAUUCGAAGAGCGGAAUAAGUAAGGCUGUAAGUGCCAAAAGUAAACUUUCGUGGAAAUUUUGUUUAUUCGUCGAAAUAUUAUUUAUCUGGAAAAUGUAUGAAAAUUUGUUUACUAUAUGUAUCACGUUAAUUUGUAUAAUAUAUUUUUGUAAAAUAGAAAGAUUGAAUUGGAGUGGAAAGGGUUAAUUUUCUCGACGGUACGUCGACGCACAGGACGCAUUCGCUCCGGUAAUGGCUAAGUCUAAGGAACGUUAAAGUUCUUUUCGAUUCCAAGUUACAGUCGCCCUAUGACGGUUCGCUAAUUUGUCGCCUAAUCCUCGUGGAGCAAAGGUUUUUGAUGGACGGGUCGCGAGGAGCAGUAGCAACGACGAUUUUCUUUCUCCGGUUGAAAGCAAAGCAUCUACCUCGAUCCACGAAAACGCUGGAGAAGAGAAUUCGAUCGUGCGGGAAGAAGACAUUUUUCCACCUGUCGAGGGUGUUUCCGAAUUUUCGAAAACAAUUAAUUAAUGAUAUUCCACGCGAUCCGUGCAACAUUGCCAUCCCGAUCGAGCGAACACGGUUUUCUAUGUCAGUGUUUUUAUGAACGAGAGAAACGGGGAGUUCGUGAACGCGACUCGUUCGAUCGGAGGUGUCGCCGCUCCUACAACUUGAGGAAAGAAAGAAGAUCCGUUCGAUCGCGUUCACGUUCUUCGCGCGCGUGUGUAUCGUAUCGUCUGUCGUAAUAUAUCGUGUCCGUGAAUAUUCUAAUAAUAAAUAAUUAAUUAAUCGAAUAGCACAUCUAUAUGGCACGUUGAGGGGAUGGGACUAAAGGUUAUAAAGCGUGGCUAAGGGGUGGGGACUUGUACACAAUGGGGGAGGGACAAACGACAAAAUAAGAAAAAGAAGCAAACGCGAAAAACAUAAAAAGGGGAUGUUCGGGAGAUUGGAAUUAACAGAGAGAGGUUAUGAAUGGUUGAACUAUGAAUAGAGUUUAGCAUAUAGUCAUUAUGAAGACGGAAGAGAGGCGAAGAAAGAAUAAGAGUAAGAGAGGAUGGGAGGAGAGGUUUUGAAAUCAUCGAUAAAUAGUAAGUUUAUAGAAACGAACGGUGUUUUUCAGGUUUAUAGUUAAGAGAAAAAACUUGCUUUGUUUCGCACGUCGAACGGCUUCAGUCGACGCCCAAAGAAGAUAUCCUUGAAUUUCGUUGAAUAUAUAUUUUAGAGACUCGGGCCUCUAAACUCGUCCCGUGUCGCCGCGAAUUUUCCUUCCUUCCUUCCUUCCUUCCUUUUUUCCUUCUUUCUUUCGCCGCAUCUUUCAAAUCCGACGAUACGAAGGAGAAAGAGCGUAUUUUCGUGGAAGGAAGAAAGAAGCGCGUCGAGCGGACGAGGAACGUUCUAGUGAUAGGGUACCGUAUCCGUGUCCGUAUUUAGUGGAUGCUCGACGAUGGGAAUAAAACGAGAAAGGAGAAAGAAAGAAAUUUUAUCCUGCAAUUUAUAUAUCGGUUGUUCUUCGAGACGUUCUUUUCAUACGGUUUCAUAUAAUCUGAGAAAAUAAAGUAUAUUAUAAAUAUAUAUAUAUAUGAAAAUAAAUAUGAAAUAUUAUAUAUAUAUAUAUAUAUAUAUGAGUCUACGUGUUUAAGGAUCGGUUUUUUCGUCUUUUAGCGUGUAAGAUUCUCUUUACAGCUGUGCUAGACAACUAUAGGUAAUACACUAUAUAUUACAUAAACGAACAUAUUUAUGGUAAGAAGAAAUACGAACGCAUAUUAUAUGCGUGGGCCGACGCCGCGCACGAUCAGAAGGCACGUUUUCACUUUCUUCGGAGAAUUUAGAAUUCAAACACGACUCUUUCGCGAUAUCGGAUCUUAGCGGAGUCUUCUCGUCAUUUCACCUUAAGAGGGGCUGUUACCUCGCGAAUGUUACAUUUUCGAAUACGGGGGCUUUCAAAUUUUCGCGUUCCUCGAUUGAAAAAUUUCGAAAGUUCCGCGUUUGAAAAUUUCGACAUCUCGAAAGAAGAAAAGGAACAACUCGUUCGACACGCUGCGUAGCGAAACUGUCGUAUCAUGAUUAAACUUACGGUACAAGUUUUCCGUUGUCACGAUCGAACGACCGCGCGAAGAUUAAAAAAGGAAGCGUGCACGGUGAUCUUUUAUUUCAGUUCACGAGAGAAACGCAAUAAUUUCACCUAUUUAUUUACGAAGACAAUAAAAUUCAAUUCCGACUCGUGUAAUAUCUCGAAGAGUUUGAAAGUCCUGUAAGCGUUGUAAGAGGGAACACCGGGCACGAAUUCGAAAGAAAAUCGCCGCGCGAUCGUUCGAUGCAGUGUGCGGGAGUCGCGCGUCGGCGACAUCUAACACACGCGAAUACACGCAACAUGUAGGAACACACGUUCGUAAGGACACAGCAACGCGUAUACGUUCAGGUCGAUGUUCUUUUAGUAAUCGUAAUUGCGAGCCUCGCAAAUCGCGAUCAGAAGCGCGUUCGAGCUUUUUAUCAUAAAAUAGCGCGACGUGGCGCGGCACGGUGCAACACCGUUUGCUCGUUAACGUUUCACCGAGCACGACGGCUCGUUCGUUAGUCCAUUUUUAAUUUCAUCUCUUCUUCCGUAGAUCCCGAGUUUCCGUGCACCAGCGAUUUUCCUCUUUUCUGUACCGUCUCUUCUGAAAAAUCAGCAGGAGGGGCCAAGGCGUUUGCAAAUUCGUUUCUUCGUACUUUCAUCGGCAUCGAUCUCGCUUCGUUGCAGACGAUUCUAUGACAUUGAAAUUUUCAUUGGUAACAUUUAGAAAUUGUACAUUUACCAGUAUAUUUACUUCGGCUUCUCAAUAUUGCAGAUAGUAACAUAUUCGAAAUUGCACGAAAGAAACGCGUUAAGGGAUAUUCGGAAGAAGGUAGACGCGAAAUGGUGAUAAUUUGUUGUGAUCGGUACAGGAAAACGGCGCCCUCCAGCGUCGAGUUGCUAUUAAGUGACGUAUUACUCUAUCCAUAUACGGUGCAACAGCCUCCUCUCGAGCGAUUAUCUUAGUAAAAUCGAACCUAGAGUUUCCAAUCUCCGACUGCUCGUGGGUCGUUAUUGCACCGUUUAGUUUUCUUUCAACGUCUUCUCAAUUCGCGCGUAGUAGCUUUCGAUGACGUUCUGUUUUUAUUUACCUCGGUCAAUCGUACAAUGACGUCCUUCAUCGGAAGUCAACUUCUUUUUUCGCAGCCAAGAAUAAUUCAUAAUUUAUAUUAUCGUUACGCGGUAUAUCUCUUAGAUAUAUUGCGGUUACGUUACGUUCCGCGUGUAGUUCCGAUCGUACUCGCUUCUCUUCGUAGUCGUUAAUUAACCGAACAAUAAUCGUUCUUUUUUUUUUUUUCAACGUUUUUGACGGUCGAUGGUUCGUUUCUGUUCGUUUUCUCCAUUCGAUUGUUCUCUGGAAGCGUAAUUUAGCAUCCUCGAGGUUCCUAAUUCAUCAUACGUUCGAGACGCGUCGAUACCUUAGACGCGAUUAUUUCUUCGCUCGUUUUCGCUCAUUCGUCUCGGGACACUAAGCCAGUAAUAUUUGAUUAUAUUACUUCUAGAAAAUUGCAAGUAUACGAUUAUUUUACGUCUUUCGUUCGAUGAGAGAAAUUUCAUAUUUAAAGAUCCGAGACGAAGCGAUAUAGAAACGAGUUAAUAGGAAAUCAACAACGAAGUCCGACGCUUCCAGCGUAGAGAGGUACGUUUAGUUUGACGGGUGAACUGCAUCGAUUCAACGUUUCUAUGUACAUCGAUCGAGUAGGCCGCUAGCAUUUAUUUAACAUGAAACAUAGCCACGCGAGAAGUAUUUUUCUUUCUUGUCUAUUUUGCGCCGCGUAUAGCGCCGCGUGUCGUGUCACGUCGCUGGACGCGUUCGAAGCGAUGCGAAACAUCGUCGCCUAUUCUUUCUUUAUUUCCAUUUCUUUCCUUCGAUUCGCGAAAUUAACACGUUUUCGAACACGUUAGCUAGAGAAAAGUCAACGUAGCCGCGUUUCGAUAAAUUACCAAAAACGUAAGCGACGUAUUUAAAUGAUUUUCUUCAUGGUCUUCGUGACGAGUCCACGAUGUUCCGGGUAUUUUCUUCGUGUCCCGAAUCCUUCUGAUUUAUUCUUAGGCACGGAAAGAGUCAGGGGAAUGGAUGCGAGUCAACGUAAACGAGUGAUACGAAGCGAGUGAGAGAGCGAACGAGCGAGUGACAGAGAAAAAGAGAGAAAGAGAGAGAGAGAGCAAAGAUCGAGCGUGGAAGAGAAAGAAGGAGGUAAAGGAUAGGAAACAUUUAAUCGAAUCGCGCCACGACAUACGCGACUUUUUAUCGAAAGACGUACAAAGUGAGAAAGAUUAGAGAGAAAGUAAUCGAGAAGAGAGAAGCAAGCAAGAUGUGUGUGCAUACUAGUUAACACGAAUGAAAAGGAGAGAAAAAUUGACCGUCGCGAACGCGGAACCGGAAGGAGUAGUUUUUUUACGUAUUUUCUCUAAAAAUUAUAGAGAUACGAUAAAUUUUGUCAGUACCGUAUUGCCUACGCGCAAUUUCUAGAGAGAUAACGAACAAGUACGACAGAAUUUUCAUUUGUAAGCAACGAUGAAAUUAGAGAAAUUCGCGAAUCGUAAUAAAAUGCGCGGUAUGCCUGUACUUUAUCGAGAGCGAUAACGAAGGUACGCGUCGUAUAUCCCGGUUGCCGAACAAUCCUUUCGGUUUCGCGCGUCCCGAGUCCCGAUUAAGUUUGACAGAUUAUUAUAAAUCUCAGCUCCCUCCCUUUUAUAGCUAACACGCUGACGAUUCGAAAUCCACUGUUUUUUCCAUGCCCAAUACGAGAAACGGAAGAGCAGCGCUAAAGAAAGGAAAGAUAAAUAAAUUCGAUAUCCAAUGGAAAUUCAAUCCUGUAAGGUGAUGCGUGUAAUUGAAAUGUACCUUUGCUGAAAAAUAUGGUAUUGUUAAUACUGAACGUGUUACGAACGACGAUGAAAUUUUAUCGAGAGCGCUACUGGAGAGCGAUUUUGUUUUUUCUGGCGAAAGAUACUUUUUCGUACGCGUCUUGUCUCUCGACCCACGGAUUCCUUCGGAAAAGCUCAAAGAAAUUUUAUUGUUAGCGAAAGGAAAGGAACGACGAUGGGAAAGGAAAGAAAAGAAAAGAAAAGAAAAAGGGGAAUCUUUUCUUCGAAGGAUGUAUUUUAUGACCACCUGUUUCGUCCACUUGAACGAUGUCGCAGGAACAUUUCGGGAGAAUAAAAAUGAUUUUUAUACGGUGUUUCUUGAUCGAGAGACAAGGCUGACGAUCGCCGACCACGCAAAUAGUACACACACCGGCUGUCUUUCACACUGUGCGAUCGUAGAAGCCAGACUUCCAGCGAAUCGAACAAGUUUCACGCUCGAACAACCAGUGUCGAACACGAAUCUUCGUCUCCGAAUGAAAUAUAAGAGUGUAUUUAAAUAAUUUCUCUAUCUCUCGGCGGAAGUUCACGCGGUUUUAUUAGAAAUUCUCGUUUCAACCGUGUUUCGAAUUACUAUCCAACAAGAGGUUAACGGUAAUUCCGAAAUCUAUCGUUGUUUCGGGGUUGGUUGUUCAGGCGUCGAAGGAGAACAUCUACGCGAUAGUUGCUUACCGAAAUUUAACGGAACGACGCCUCCCAACGUGUUUCGGUUCGAACUGAUUUUCGUGACGAAGAAUUUUCAUGGCGGUGAUUAAACGUUUCGUUGACGAUUGAAACGGAAUAACUCUCGAGGACGACGAAGUUCGCUAAAUCGCGGGAGUCUGGCUGUAAUCGAGUCGAUCGAGGAUAGGUUGGCUUAAGGUACAAAUGUACAUAGGAACAUAACGUUGUUAUUUAACCUGAUAACACCCCUGUUCCUCUUCGUUGUCUCGCGCCUUUCGAACGCAUCGAACAACGCUGUUUCUAAAAGACAUUAUAUUUCUCGAGGUUAGAAAAGAAAGAAGAAAAUUAUCCAGAAUCGAGUUUGCUCGAAGAACGAGAGACAGCGAAGGAAAGGGGAAAGGUGGUUGCGAAGCAGAGAAGGGAAAAGGCGGAUAAAAGAAUCGAUCAAUUAAUCGACGCGUAGCUGCGUUAGACAAUUGGUUCACGGCUCUUCCUCCUUCCUUUUUCGUCGUUUGUCCCUGUCGGGGAUUUAUUUCCUUUCAACCUACCACCAUCACCGUACAUUUUAUUUCCCCUUGGUGGAUGGCCCGGUUUUUACGAGCCGUGAUCCGAUCGAUCGACGCUCAGGGAAGAAGAGAGCGAACGAGUCUCGUUACGGGAACGAAAGCAACGAGGAAUUCUAUAAGCGAGAAACAUCAAAUACUACGUAGACUCGCAACAUUUACGCGCAUCGGUACGCGUGUAGCUUCUUUUCUUAUUCGUCGCGUACGAUGGUUUAAUUUUCGCUUCGCUUCGUUUUUGUUUUCUGCCUCGAACUCGCGUGUUCGUCCGACAUCCCUCCGCUCUUUCGUCAGCGCCUCGCUCGAGCAUCGUUCGGCGAGUUAAAAGUCUUCGAGAAGCAGACCGACGUUAACGAAUCGUAGAAAAUUCCAAAAUUCAAAUGCUCCAACAGCUAUAUUCAGGAAUAUAUGAUCGAAGAAAUGGAAGAAAACGCUGGCGAAAGAGAAGGAGACAAAGAUUCGACGAAAGGACGACGAUGGACGCGCGUGUAACGAUCGUGAUUAAGCUUUCGCGAUCGAGAUGCUUGUAAUUAAUCGUAAGCUACCGAUAGGCUGACACCGCGAAGUAUCGAAACUCGUCUCACAGGCAAUUUCCUCAUAAAGUAUAAACCGUUGUGUCUGAAUGGCGUGUGGAUGUACUAUCGGCUACCCUCCCCUUCGUACAGUUAACCGAGUCCACCUUAUAAUCUCUCUGUGUACAUAUACAUAUAUACGCGUAAUACGUAUUCAUAAUCGUGUGUAUCGCUCCCUUAAUUACUAUUAUAGUAGCUUCGAAGCUACUGUCGCGUUUAUCCGAUAGAUUCUCGGCAGAACGUGCACGGAUGAUCAUUGAAAGGAGCAGAGUAGAGGAAGAUUCGCCGAUGGCCACCUCGAUGAUCUCUCGAAACGCUCUCUUCUUUCGGUCGUAGCUUUAGAAUCGCAAUAAAAUGUCCGUGAAUGUAAAUAUUAACGCGAGGAAUAUCGAGUAUUUGUGCACGUCGAAAGCUCGAAAGAUCUUCGAGGUAGUCAGCAGCGGUUUCCAACGUCGGAACACGGACGCUUGUUCGUAACAACUAACAAAGAUGAUUUUUCUAAGCGCAUACGCCACGAACUGUCCACUGACGUAACCAGGCAGCGAUCAGAACGAACAUAGAUCGCGUGUCGAUACAUCGUGUAACGAUACGACAAAUGCGCUGGUUACGCCAACGGAGAAGCAGCUUAGUCGAUCGUACAAAGAGCGGCGGGAGGAGAAAAAUUGAUUCACUGUAAUUCAACACCAAUAGAGCGACGUGUUUUCGCUUUGUUCGUUUCGUUAAUUCGAAUCGAAUCGUUCGGUUGUUUGACGCGCGCGGAUCCGCGGCGAGAGCUCGUUUCGCAGGGAACUCGGCGUUUCAUUUUUCAUCGCAUCAAAAGCAGAAAGAACAACUGUUUUUCUCUUACGAGAAACGAUAAGCAAUCUCUCUUUUGAACGACGAGGAUCAACCGUACGUGUCGUCGUGUUUUAGGCUGUAAGCUUUUUUUAUACGCGGAAAGGGGGAAAUUUUCAAAUCGGACGCGCCAAAUUUCGAGAUUGAUCGACUUUUUAGGUAUUCGACUGAGGGCGUAAAAGAUUUCGGGGCAUUUUUAUUCGGCUGUGUAUGUUUAUUAAGGCGGGUGGGGGGGAUGGGAGGAAAUUUUCUUGAAAAGCAAAAAAAAAAAGGAGAAGGAAAUAUAAGACGUGCAUCGUAAUAAGCGUAAUCGGUUAAGAUUUCGAAAAUGAUUAGAUGAAUAAUUUUUGUACCCUAUUUUUUUACGCGAUCGCCGAGGCGAUCACGAAACGAGAUCGGGCAACAAGGGUCGAACGUUUUUUAAUACGCGCUUUAGGACUUCUAGCUCGUUAAGUUUAGUUUAAGCGUAAAACCGCGUCGCGUAACGUAUCGGUAGCUGUCGAAAAAGAGGAAGAAGACGAAGAAGAAUAAGGAGGAAGGAAACGAGAAACGCGUGCCGCGGAAAGGAAAAGAAAGAGGAAAAAACAUUUGGAAAUGUUUCGAGGAAACUUUAAUCGAAAUUCUCGUUCGGGUUAACCCUCUCGAGAAGAGAAAAGAGGAUUUGUUGGAGGACGAACGCCGAAUAAGGGUAUACGACCACGGGGGAGGAAAGACUUUUUCGUUCGGAACGAGGAAUCACGGCUGAGAUUUUCCUCGAAUGGAAAGAAAGGGAAACAGCGGAAGAAGUCGAAGGAAUUUCGGUGGAAAAUAAAAGCAGCAUUCUCUUUAGGGUAUCGUAGUUCUUCUAACGCGUGUUUAGCUGAUAUUAACUAAUGGGUUAAUCGAUAUCGAUUGUAAAGUAAGCGGAGCCGAAAAGAUAAGGAAAGACCGAUCGGACGGCAGGCAGAAUAACGAGCGACGAAGAGAUCGAAGGUGUGAAACAGAAGGACGACGGGGAAGAAACAAUUGUGCGUGUUUUUCUUCGAGGGGAAAACGAGUAAUAAGGGUUCAUAGUAAAACACAAGCGAUUCUUGUGCAUUGCGUUUGCAAAAAAUAAUCAAUGCUGGUAGUGCGGACCAAACGGGACAACUGACAGAGGGUGUUUUAAAGGUAAAAGGAGAAGGGAAAAGAAAGGAGAAAGGAGAAAGGAGGACGUGACGCGGAGACGACUGUUUGUCUUUGAUAUCGAACAGCGAGGAACGAAAGGGAAAUUGGAAGAAAGAACGAGAUUCGUGAAAAUUGCCGCUCCAUCGGAAAUCAACGUCCGGGAAGACUCGUUUUUUCUAGUAAUUAAACAGAAAGAAAAAAGAUGAAUAUUUUCACGGAGCGUGCAGAUGAUGUCUCGAACGAUUUUUAUCCGUUAUUAUAAGUCAUAAUCGAUUAUAAUAUGUUCUUUUCGACAUCGAAUCACGCGAACGUUUCUUUUACUCGAAGGAUUUUUCAUUUUUUCACCUAGUACUUAAUACGAAGAAAAGAACGGGAAGGGAUGAAAAUCGUUGGAGAAACGACGCUUCGACGAUCCUACGAUUGGCUACGUGGUAUUCGAAAGCGAUACACCAUUAACGUUUAAGAAUUGUGCAAAACAUUUCUAUCGGAUUGGAUGCACUUAACUGUCAGAAUAUGCGCAUUUCGCUGUCUCGUUGAAGGGAGUAUUUCUGUAUCGAUGUACGCGAAUGUUCUGCUUCGCCUCGCGCAUGCUGUCUCAGUCUUUCGAUUAUCGAACAAUCGACGAAAUUCUGUCGAAUUCUUUAGAGAUUAGCUACUUUGAACGAACUGGCCCGUUCGAGACGCAACGAACAUAUAAAUUUGUACGAGUCGAAUUUUAAUCGGAAUCGGAUCGUUUCGCGAGAGAACGAUUAAAUAUGAAAAUGAAGUUUUCGCUAUACGAACUCGCGCGAUAUAAGCAUAAACGAUAAAACUGAAGUCGAGUAAGCGCGAGGUCCAGGGAACUUGGAGGAAAAAGCAGUCCGAAUUCGAUCGAUGUCUUGCAACUGUAUCUAUUAUAUAUUCACGCAUUAAUCGCGUACCGACAUCACCAAAUUGUAAAAACUAUUAAUCCGUAGUGUACUUUCGCCGUUUCGAACUUAGGUUCAACGAGAUUCAGCCCCCUGCAUCGCAAUAACGAUCAUCUUCGAUGAAUCAUUGAUCUGCCGCGAGACGAGGGGCGUUUCCAAGCGGCGAGAUCUUAUAUACAUAUUCGUAGGUUACCCUUUUCACAUUCUAGCGUUUAUUGAAACGCGAUCGCUAAUAUUCCCCUACCGUUACGCGUAGUUUACCGAUAGUUCAAAUUUUGGCGCGUUCGCCAAAAGAGGAAGAGAACGAGGAAGAGAACGAGGAAGAGAACGAGAACGAGAACGAGAACGAAAAGCAAGAAACUUGAGGGAGAUAACGGUUGAAAAUUUUUCGAAGAAAUCGAGUUGGAGUAAUCGGUAGGAACGCGCCACGGUGAUCAACGAUCUCGAAUAAGCGAAUGAUUGCGAGGGAUGAAUGGUUCUCUAUCCAUCGGUGAAUUUCAACCAAGCCAGGAGAGGAAUAAACGAGACGAGCAAGUAGGGACGAAUUCUCGUUGGCUCCUACUACUCUUUUCUUUCCGUUCCACCGCGUUUUACACUGUUUUUCCCGUCUCGGUACCGGAGGAAAGCGAAGCGACGGAGAAAAUCUCGGAAUGCGAGUAAACGCGGCGACGCGUUUAAUCGACCACGAGAACUACGAUGCCGAUAACGACACGCUUUAUCCGUUCGAUUGUUCCUUACGGUUGUUGCGGAAACUAACCCGAAACUCGAGUCGAUCCGAUUCGUGUAACAAGCUUAAGGAAAUUUUCUAGAAUCGUCCCUUUUUAAGGAAAUUCUCUUUACGUUUCACGUUCCCGAAGAGUUAUACUUCAACGAACCACCGAUCGAGCGUGUCGUUAUUCUCGUUACGAAUCACUCGAUAAAUCUGCGAGGUAACAUCGAAACCGAACAAAGAUCCCUUAUUUCGAAUGACUGCCACGAAAAGAAGAGAAAAAUCCUUCGUCGACACUAUUUAAUUUAAUUGGCAGACGUCUCGAGUACUCCGCAAACGGAGAAAAAGAAAACAGCCGAUGGUAGCUGUUUUCCUUUUUAUCUCGAGAUCGUCGCGGAAAAAAGGUUCGUCCAUGUUCGGUGAACGACAACGAAUAAAAGAGAAUCGAUCGCGAAUUUUAAUCGAGGAGGGCUGUUUAAAACGGAAAUCUCGUGGUCGAACGUGGCGACGACGACGCGUUUCGACCGAAUUGCUUUUCGUUCGAUAAAUCAUUGCCUCAAUCGCAGACUUUCGUCGGCGUUUCAGCGCAUAAAAUCGUUUGUCGCUCGAUGAAGAAUUCCGUGCGACAGAAUCUCGAUAUUUCUCUUCUAAAAAUAAUCGUAUCUAUCGAUUAAUCGGAACAAAGAAAUUGAAAAAUUCCGAACGUAGAAAUUGUAAAAUACAUCCUUCGGCAUAAGAAAAUAACGAGGUUCUAGCGUAAAACGGUCGCCGAUUUCAAAACGAGAAGCAGAGUCGAAGUUAGCUCGACGAUACCUCCCCUAUAAAGAGUACAAAUUUUUCUAACCAAGAUGAUUAUAUUCGAGCGACGAAACGGAAUUAUUGCCACGAGGAAGCAGCGGUAGAAAGACGGAAACGGAUGCGUGAAGCGUGCGUAAAAAGGGGACGAGAAAGAAGGGGAUGCGUUACCAACAACCCAAACACGUUAGCAUCAAAGAUAGGAAAGAGAUUUUUCCCUGGUUAACGAUAUAGUAGGAGUUCUUUUAAGCGCGAUAUAAUAGCGAUACGAGAAUUCGCAAAUGAAUCUAUCGUAACGCGGUACCGCAAACUUUUAUCUAGAAUUUAGGACUCGUUCAAGGUGUAUGUCGCACGAUACGUAUAAUUAUAAUACAUAUUAUGAUCGUAUAUACAUUUAACGACGAUUACGCAUCACUUGUACGUUUAACGUUCUUACAAUUAGACUGCCAUUAGCACUUAAGGCGCGGCUUCGCUCUAUUUAUCUCGAAUUAUCCCGAAUUCUCUCAGGUAACGCGGCCGAGGGAACUGUGUUGCUCGCAAUUCACCGUGGAACAGGAAUUUCCAUAAACUUUUCCGCGAAGUUGUAUUUUUCGGAAACUCGACACGUUUUCGGAUGGAAUGCUUGCAACUAGUUCUCAUUGACGCAACUCGUAAUGCUUAUUCGUCCCACGGAAACAAAAGAGAGAAAAAGAGAGAGGGUGAUGCCUACUUUCUUCGAUAUCAUUUUUUUUAUUCGGAAGCGCAAGAAAAAUUUGUACGCAAUCACAAAUAGGAACCAUAACCGAGCUAUAGCGAAAUAUACUAUCGCAAUUAACGCGCUCCUAGAUCAUAUAUUUCUGCAUGGUACUCUAAGGAUCGUUAAAGGGGUACCCUCUCUCGGAAUGCCGAGCUGAUGUCUUAAGUGAAAACUACUGGUGCAUUAUAAUCAACGGUAAGAAACAUAGGAGAAUCGCGCGCAGGAAAAUCUGAAAUCUUAAUUAGUGCGCGCGUAUGCUUGUGCGUAUAGAGAAAAUGCGACGAACUAGAUAUUCGUAACUAGAACCUUUCAUGUGUUUAUUGCAUGCAGUCCCGCUCUCUAGGUUCAGAUGAAAUGCUAUCCUUACCUAUAUGUCUCCUCCGAUUCGCCUCCUAAUUCUAUGGGAAAAUACGUACAUAAGACUAACAAUCGCGCGACCAACUAACGAACACGUGUACACGUUACGCGUACAAACUAUUCACUCACUGUUUAUCAUCGAUCGACGAUUUUUCGAACAGUUUCCUUACCAUCGAGAACAUUAACUUUGUAGCCCGUGCGAGUUGCUCGGUCGUGUUUGUCCCAGCCAACGGUAAAUCAAUUAAAAAGAGCAAUCUCGAGGACAUCCGAAUCCAUUUUUCGAGCGAUUUCUUUUCGACGGAACACAGCUGCACGCUGCGCGUCGAAUCUUGGCUCGGAAAACGAAAUUUUCUUUCGAAGGAAAAAUUUUUGUCGCUGCAGCAAGUAGAUCGACGGGAAACGUGUACUCUUGCUGACUCUCACCAGCCGACGAAAUCGCGUUCUCUUUUGGCCGAAAAUCAAUGAAACAUAAAGGAACGAAGCUCCUGAUUCGACGACGCGGAUUCCAGAAAAGAAAAUUGAUCGCGCUCGAAAAAUAGCUUUCGAAUCCGCGAACGAAACUGCCGACGAAUGUAAACCGUUCCAGCCUUCGAUUUUUCUCAGGCGUUUUUUAAACGCGUUUCGUGAACCUCGAAAUUCAGACUGAUCCUUCGUAGACGACCUACGGUAAUUUAUAAGAAAAAGAAAAAGAAAACAUAACGAAGAAAAAUCGCGUGGAUCAAGAAUCGUUCGAAGCAAUUCUUAGACUUCCUUUUUCUUUUAAGAAAGUUUUGCUCGACAGACGCUUAAAAAAUGAAACGAAUACAAUGCGGCGAACAUCGUCCAUUCGACGACUCCAUAUCCGAACGUUCAAGAGUUGCUUGAUAGUUCGAAUAUCCGUAAUUAUUUACUCGAGCAUCGGCUGGACGAUCGACGUCGCGCAUAAAAAUGAAAAGAAAUUACGUUUGCACUUUUGCACACGAAAUAUAUUUUUGAUAAUAAUCUAUUCAAAAGUGGUCUACAAAAAAAAAAAGAAAAGAAAAGGAAGGAACGAAAAACACGGAACGAGAAGGAAGAAUUUUUGUAGUAGUAGCGAUCGUCGUAGUUGGUAGAAGUAGUAGUAUUAGCAGUAGUAAUAGUAGUAGCAGCAGUGGUAAUUAAUGCUAGUAUUUAUUAGUAGUCUGUCGAGCAAUAUUUUGUGAAAUUUCUAACGUUUAUUUGAACGCGCGCUACGUCCUUGAUCACGCGAUCGAUCUUCGCGUACGUACACUUCGAUAUACAUACAUAUAUUCUGACUAAAACUCGACUGAGCUUUCGAUUAGGGAAUUUUAGGUAUUUUUCAGGAGCUUUUCCGCAUAAUUAAUACAUAUACGAUACCAGCGAGCCUCGUUUUAGGCUCAAGACCUUCGAUAAAUCUGCCACUGGAAUUGGUCCUCGAGAAUAUUCAGGUGUCGCGUUGAAUAUAUCCUAUUCAAUCGUUUCUAGUUAACGAUAUAUGCUAGAGAAAGAAUUUCCACGACGACGUGGUAAUUCUCAACGAAUCCUACUUAGCCUAUAUCUACGAUUAUACGAUGUCUAAUCAAAUUUCUUAACGCUAUUUACCGAACACGGUGAGAAAGACACUUGUACAAAAGUACAGACACUGUGCUGGAGUUAAGUAUCCAAAACGCGAGUUCAACCGUACUAAAACAUGUAGCCAAACGAUUGCCACCGAUAUGAACAGUAAUCGUUGAAAAGCGCAUCUCGUCAACGCGUUGAUCGAUUCGAUCAUCGCCGUUUUCGUUCGCAGUUUAUGGAGUAGAUAGAAAAUUUAACCCUUGCGUUAACACCGUUCACUGCCAUACCGGAAAUCAGCGUCGUAACCAUUUUAUUGUUCGCGAUUCGAUCUCUCAGUUUGUAACGAAAAUGUCGUUUAGUUCGCUCGAGGGAAUGGCAGUCGACGCGUUAAUAACUGCUGGGUACGUACCUACCUACCUACCUACCUACCUACCUACCUAACACUUGCACGCGGAUAUUAAAAAAUUUAUGAUCACCCUUUUAGAAUACUGUAGGGUAUCGUAUUAACCGUUAGCCGAACAAUAACAGCGAGAAUCUUGGAUAUAAGGAAAAAACGAGAGACAAAUGUAUUUUAAGAUCCCUGCAUAUCCUCGUUUUUCGAAUAAUAUGACAAAAAUGACGCGCGAUUUUAUCUCCUUCGAUGUUAUGGCCGAUUACAGUAAUAAUACUACCUAUGCCGCGAUAGAAAUUUCAAAACGAAAAUUAUCGAAAAGUUCUUUAUAGCGACUAAAAUUAUUUUAUUCGCGUUUUUAUAACAAUUUGCAUAAUUUAACGAAGAAAUGACCUUCGUGAAAAGUUGAACAUUCUGAAACAUUGAAAUGUUAAUACAAGGGUUAAUUGGGAAUUCGUGUAAAACGAGACAAGAACACAAGAUUGAUGCGGUUAGUAAGGAAGAAAAACUAUUAUCACGCGAAACUCGAUGGAACAUACACGUAGUCGUUUUCAACAACCGUGAACACAACAAACCCUAUUAAUUAUCAUUCUAUCGUUAGAAUAUAAGAGUUGAUAUUUAAGAAUUCGUAUUGUAAUAAUUGUAUGCGACUAUAUUUGUUUGGUUGGCUUGAGGGCGAGAGUCUAACUCGGGUGUUAUUAGAUACUACGCUGUACCUUUAGCUGGUGGGCAAUCGGCAAUCGGAUUAUUUUCAAGAAAACGCUGAACAGAAAACAGCGACAGUGACUGCUAGUCUCGCGACGAUUCUGGGAGACGUUUCUCGUCCUUCCAACUUUAAAGAAAAUUCUCGUUUUCACGCCAGUUCAGGUUAUAAAAGUUUCUACGUAUACGCGAUUCCAUAAUGGCGCGAUAAAUAAAUUUUAGCAUUUCCUUUCAAUUUCGGCGCACCGAUAUUAUUUCCGAACGAAUCCUAAAAAGCAAAUAACGUAAAGAAAAACAAACGACUUUUCGAUCGUCGCGAGAAUGGAUCGAAUCUAUCGAAUCACCGCUAGUAAAACGUACAAAGCAAGAGGAACGUAUUCUCGACGCGCGAACAGCGAAUUCGUCGAUCGAGAGGAACAACUCGACGCUGGGCGUCGAAGUCAUCCGCGACCGCGAAGAGGUAGGUGGUACGCACUCGUGACAAAAAAGAGAAACAAAAGUAGAGAAGACGGAAUAACGGAAAUUGCGAAGGGCAGUCGAGAAUACGGUUCCCUCUGAACGAGCGAAGGAAGAG